AUAGACUGAAUCUUUUAGGGAUUAACAGUUUGAAAUGUUAGAUCUGUGCAUUUUUAUCCAAACUGGUUCACUUCUAGCUGGAGGUUUUACAGAUAAUGCACAUGGAUGGAAACAUGAAGCAGGACAAUAACGUGUCUGUUAACGAUUCUCUUUAUUCUGCUCUGAGGCGGAGGAAAAUUAUAACCAAGGAGAAAGAAAACAGGAAGCAGAGAGGAUUACCGUCACGAACCUGGAGAUGAAGCAGAGACAAAAUAAAGAAAAGGAACAAAUGUAGAAAAUGUUGGAAACGAAGGAAACGAAUCGCUCUAAAAGUUUCACUCCAUCUGAUCCUGAACCUCAAAAGUAGAAAGAGAGCCAGACCCUCCACUGUGGGCACAUUAUCCCACACCACCGAGCAGCAACAAAGACUGGGAGCACUGGGAACACUGGGACUUCCUGCCAGAUCCAGCAGCGGGUUUCCCAGCAGCAGACUGAACCUGCAGACUCGUUUCACCUGAAGGCAUCAGAGGUUGAUGGACGCCGCCACGCCGCCGCCUGUGGAGGACAGGAAACAGGAAGUUACAGAAGACAAAGGAAGCAAAGGUGAAGGAGGUCCAAACUCCCCAAAGAUGAAGGAAGAGGCUUACGUGGACGACGAAGAGAAGAAAAGCAGCAGCCAGUCCAAGUACAAAACCGUGUCUUACAAGAAGAUCCGCAAAGGAAACACACGGCAGAGGAUCGACGAGUUCGAGGCCAUGUUUGACUUAUAGAGCUGGAGGGCGGAGCCUGGAGGCUGCAGGGCCACAGAAUGUUCAGUAUGAUCGUUUGCAGACUUUAACUGGACCGGACUGGACCUGAUCCCUCUCCCCUGACCCAACUAGACUGGAUCCCUCUCCCCUGACCCAACUAGACUGGAUCCCUCUCCCCUGAUUGGACAGAACCAGACCAGACUGGAUCCCUCUCCCCUGAUUGGACAAGACCAGACUGGAAUGGACCCCUCUCCCAUGAUUGGACUGGACUGGAUCCCUCUCCCCUGAUUGGACAAGACCAGACUGGACUGGACCGAACCGGAUCCCUCUCCCCUGAUUGGACCGGACCGGACCAGACUGGACCGGAUCCCUCUCCCCUGAUUGGACCGAACCAGACUGGACCGGAUCCCUCUCCCCUGAUUGGACCUGACCUGACCUGACCCGAUCCCUCUCCUCUCAUUGGACCGAACCAGACCGGACCGGAUCCCUCUCCCCUGCACAGAUCUCUUCAUUACUGCUGUUUUUCUCCUGAAAAUUCUGAAAACUGAAACCUGAUGUUUUCAUCUCCAGGAUCUAAACGUUGAUGGGAAACUUAAAAUGUUUCAUUUCAAGAAAUAAUAUUUGUUAGGACUUUAGAGAGUGUUUGAGUGGAAAACUGCAGGACAGAGUAAAAAGCUACAUCUAGUGUUUGAUUAACAUUUUCAGGCAAAUAUAAACAUGUUUAACAUGUAAAUUAUUUUCAGGAAAUAAGAAUUGCUUCAACAUCUGAAUAAUGUUUAAUUAACUGUAAUAAAGUUUUCCCAAAUUGUUUCUCA